GAUGAACGCUGGCGGCGUGCCUAAUACAUGCAAGUCGAGCGAACGGACGAGAAGCUUGCUUCUCUGAUGUUAGCGGCGGACGGGUGAGUAACACGUGGAUAACCUACCUAUAAGACUGGGAUAACUUCGGGAAACCGUAGCUAAUACCGGAUAAUAUUUUGAACCGCAUGGUUCAAAAGUGAAAGACGGUCUUGCUGUCACUUAUAGAUGGAUCCGCGCUGCAUUAGCUAGUUGGUAAGGUAACGGCUUACCAAGGCAACGAUGCAUAGCCGACCUGAGAGGAGGAGAGCCAACAUGGGAACGGAAACCGGGACAAGACCCGUACGGGAGGAGCAAGGGGGGAUUUUCCGGCAUGGGGGGAAAGCCGGAGGGAGCACGGCGGGGGGAGUGAAGAAGUUUUUGGGAUGUUAAACCUUUUUUAUUGGGAAAAAAAAUAUGUAAACGAACAUGGCCCCUUUGGGACGGGACUAAAAAAAAAAGCACCGGCUAACUACGUG
rnacentral:rRNA from 1 species